rnacentral:rRNA from 1 species
AUUGAACGCUGGCGGCAGGCCUAACACAUGCAAGUCGAGCGGAUGAAGGGAGCUUGCUCCUGGAUUCAGCGGCGGACGGGUGAGUAAUGCCUAGGAAUCUGCCUGGUAGUGGGGGAUAACGUCCGGAAACGGGCGCUAAUACCGCAUACGUCCUGAGGGAGAAAGUGGGGGAUCUUCGGACCUCACGCUAUCAGAUGAGCCUAGGUCGGAUUAGCUAGUUGGUGGGUAAAGGCCUACCAAGGCGACGAUCCGUAACUGGUCUGAGAGGAUGAUCAGUCAAACUGGAACUGAGACACGGUCCAGACUCCUACGGGAGGCAGCAGUGGGGAAUAUUGGACAAUGGGCGAAAGCCUGAUCCAGCCAUGCCGCGUGUGUGAAGAAGGUCUUCGGAUUGGAAAGCACUUUAAGUUGGGAGGAAGGGCAGUAAGUUAAUACCUUGCUGUUUUGACGUUACCAACAGAAUAAGCACCGGCUAACGUCGUGC